UUUAACCUAAAAGGAGCAAACUAGGCCGUCGUUCUUGACUGGUAUAAUCGCGCCACUUUCCCAUGCACAAACUCGACCACCGCGAGCGCCACUGCCCCGGCUCCGAUGAGCGGUUCGUGGCCGGCCAGCCGCGAUCGCGCCUGAUUCGCCAACGUGCCGUCCAAGAAGCUGAGCAUCCCCAGGGCCGAUCAGAACUGGGUGAGGGUGGAGGUGUUCCCCGGUGGCGGGACGUCCUUCUCCCGGGAGGGUGAAGUGGUUCGUCGAACAGAUGGCGAAGCUCGUCCCGCUGAAGAGCGGGAAGAUCCGGACGGUUCUUGAUGUCGGGUGCGCGUUGAAGUAUAUGGCAGCAACAGGUGGUCCAAGGUUAUUUACAAUAUGCUGAGAAGUCCCUGAUAUUGAAGUUUUGGCGCCAUCCAGGUGCAGUCGCUUCGUCAUCCCGCUGUGGUGAGAUGCAGAGAUCGUUGCGACGUUAUAUGUUGUUGCUCGAAAAGUAUUGUGACCACAACCUCUUUCUUCCCUCCCAUGUCCCUUUCUUAUUAGAGUAUUGGGGGGCUAUUGCAAGAGACCUGCAAUCGUCCUCUUUCCGCACCAUCAUUUGAGAAAGGGAGAACAUCGCUGACCUAAAACAUAAACUCUGCUGCGACAGUGCGGGUUACAUACUAGUAUACAAUAUGACUGAGCUCACCAAUUCCUUCCUUCCCUUCCUCUCUCUCUCUCUCUCACUCUCUCACUCUCUCACUUACUCACUCAAACACACAUAUGUACCUCAGUGAUGUAGCUAUGUGAAGAGUAGGUAGGUUUAAGUGAUUUGUCACCAUCAAUUCCCUUUUUGGGAUAACUUGAUACUUGUACCAGAUCCUUAGAAGGAACUAUAUAUUUAAAACUCGGCCAACUUGGAAGUUUCUCGAA